rnacentral:rRNA from 1 species
UACGUAGGGUGCGAGCGUUAAUCGGAGUUACUGGGCGUAAAGCGUGCGCAGGCGGUCUGUUAAGACAGAUGUGAAAUCCCCGGGCUUAACCUGGGAACUGCAUUUGUGACUGGCAGGCUAGAGUAUGGCAGAGGGGGGUAGAAUUCCACGUGUAGCAGUGAAAUGCGUAGAGAUGUGGAGGAAUACCGAUGGCGAAGGCAGCCCCCUGGGCCAAUACUGACGCUCAUGCACGAAAGCGUGGGGAGCAAACAGG